rnacentral:misc_RNA from 1 species
AGUAGAUAAAUCUUUUUUUUAAAUUGUCUUAAGUUAAUAGUUAUUAAUUAUUUUAAAUUAACAUUCAAUUGUGAAAUGUGACUAAAGUCGCAUAAUCUUUCAUGGAUUAUGCUUGGAACCUGGGUUCAAAUCCCAGCUCCCCUGCCAUCAUUCAACAUUUUUUUUUAUGAGUAAUACAAUGCUUUGGUUUGAUGAAUAACCUGACCGACCAGUUUAAACCCAAAUGGAUUCACAGGUUCACUGGUUACCCGGCUAGAUCAUUCUGGUUCAGAGUCAGAGCAAGUCUUUAAAAAUCAACAGUUGUGAUAAAACUGAACCUGACCAAGCUCCGGUUUCUGGUCAAACUGAUCUGACCAGCAGGUUCAGUCCAGUUUUCAAAACCAUGAAUGGCAUAAAACAAGGCCAGAAACCAUAAUUUAGAAACAAAUAAAUUGAUAAGCAACUACUAUUACCACAUUGAAGGCAUGGGAACU